GAUGAACGCUGGCGGCGUGCCUAAUACAUGCAAGUCGAGCGAACGGACCAGAAGCUUUCUCCUCUGGUGUUAUCGGCGGACGGGUGAGUAACACGGGGAUAACCUACCUCUCAGACUGGGAUAACUACGGGAAACCGUAGCUAAUACCGGAUGAUAUUUUGAACCUCGUUGUUCAAAAGUGAAAUACGGUCGUUCGUUCACUAAUAGAUGGCUCCGCGCUGCAUUCGCUAGUUGGUAAGGUAACGGCUUACCAAGACAAGGAUGCAUAGCCGACCUGAGAGGAUGAUCGGUCACAGUGGAGCGAGGACGCGGACCAGCCCUCUACGUGAGGCAGGACCAGGACAUCUUCGGCAAUGGGCGGAAGCGUAUCUGAGCAACGCCGCGUGAGUGAGGUAGGGCUUCGCAGCGUAAAACUCUAUUAUUAUGGAAUAGUAUAUGUGUAAGUAACUGUACGAAUAUGGCCGGUCCGUAAUCAGAAACCCACGCUUAACUACUU
rnacentral:rRNA from 1 species